AUUGAACGCUGGCGGUAGGCCUAACACAUGCAAGUCGAACGAGUGGCGGACGGGUGAGUAACGUCUGGGAAACUGCCUGAUGGAGGGGGAUAACUAAUGGAAACGGUAGCUAAUACCGCAUACCAUCAGAGGUGCCCAGAUGGGAUUAGCUAGUUGGUGGGGUAACGGCUCACCAAGGCGACGAUCCCUAGCUGGUCUGAGAGAAUGACCAGCAACACUGGAACGUAGACACGGUCCAGACUCCUACGGGAGGCAGCAGUGGGGAAUAUUGCACAAUGGACACAAGCCUGAUACACCCAUGCCGCGUGUGUGAAGAAGGCCUUCGGGUUGUAAAGUACUUUCAGCGUGGAGGCGUUACCCGCAGAAGAAGCGCCGGCUAACUCCGUGCCAGCAGCCGCGGUAAUUC
rnacentral:rRNA from 1 species